GAUGAACGCUAGCGACAGGCCUAACACAUGCAAGUCGAGGGGCAGCGAGAGGAAAGCUUGCUUUCUUUGUCGGCGACCGGCGCACGGGUGCGUAACGGGUGUGCAAUCUGCCCAUAAUCGGGGCAUAGCCUAACGAAAGUCGGAUUAAUGCCCUAUGUUGUAUUAUGAGGACAUCUGAGUAAUACCAAAGAUUUAUCGCUAUGGGAUGGGGAUGCGUCUGAUUAGGUAGUAGGCGGGGUAACGGCCCACCUAGCCGACGAUCAGUAGGGGUUCUGAGAGGAAGGUCCCCCACAUUGGUACUGAGACACGGACCAAACUCC
rnacentral:rRNA from 1 species